GCUGGGUAGCCACGUCUGGCAGGGAUAACCGCUGAAAGCAUCUAAGCGGGAAGCUCGCCCUAAGAUAAGAUCCCUCGUCCCGUUAAGGGAGUAAGACCGCAGGAAGACUACCUGCUUGAUAGGCAGCAUGUGUAAGCACAGCAAUGUGUUCAGCUAAGCUGUACUAAUGGUCGAGGGCUUAACUA
rnacentral:rRNA from 1 species